UUGUGUGUGGGGCUGGUUGAGAUGCUGCAUGAAUUUCCUGUCUGAAAAUUUUAUGCCGAGCCGCUGAGCGUGCAAGUCGAAAGAAGCUCAGUUUGCUGCUGAUUCUCAUCAACUGGACAUGGUUACAGCUUUUUCCGGAGAAAAAAAGCCGGAAAAUUAGUAACACUGGUUGUUCUCCGACUCCGAUGGCUCUAAUUUUAUCGAAGUUAGUUCUCUGCGUACAUUAGCCACUGAGCCAGUAGCUCCAGUACCAAAUCCGGCGAGCAACUGUUGGUGCGCUAACCUGCAGCCGGAAGGCGAUGUCCAGAAGGUCCAGGACAUUGAGGUCAGGGAGCCAAGACACGUGCGUUUCUACCCUCCAUAUCUGGCACAGAGAAGGAUGAAUCUUUAUUCUGGCUGGCAAUUGAAAAAUCUGGCUCUCCCAGAUUUAUCUGGCAACCCUCCCAAGUAACCGUGGGACUCUAAAACGUAACAUUAAAUCAACUCGAUAUCAACAAUAGAAUUUCCGAGGCAGUCCGUCGUCUCCUGAAGAUUUCGUGGGACAACUGAUGCACAGGAAGAUUUCGUUUGCGUCCGGGGGUCGCAAGAGGUCGUCGUUAGCUGCAACGUUGUCAGGGAUUCGUCUUGCUGGCUCAUAUCCUGCCACAGGUGACCGGUUUGGAGUGGCCGAGAAAAGGGUUUCGAAAUCAUUUAUCGUGCUGCCCUGUCGAUUCUGCAUUUUCUGCGCCACGUGGAAAAGACUUCCCAAGUAACCAUGUAGCACUAAAAGAAAUCAUAAAUGAGUUGCUAAACAGCAUUCACCAACUAAUCAGUCAUAAAACAGCUACGGUGAUUGCAAAUUAGCUGUAAAACAACUGCUCUAAUAAUAGAUGGAAUAGAGCUGAUUUGAUGCUGCUACUAGCAACACUGCAACCAAAUAUUUCAUCAAACUGGCAACACUACAAUAUGCCGUGUAAGAGCGAAUGAGAGAGUACACCAACAAACAGAUUCAAAAAUAUUCUUUUCUCUCUCAUCCAUUAAACCAAAACAAAUCGAGCGGGGAGAAAAAUGCAGUCAGAUUAGAAGAUUUAGUUUACGCAGCUGUUGAAACCGUUUUAUUAUGUUGUAACCUCCACCAGCUGACAUGAAAUUACGGCUACGGAGGAAAAAUGGCAAAUUUAUGCGGAGAUUUCAUUGCGCGAAAGCAACAACCGGCUUCGAACGCCCAACAUGGGCAUUUCCCGAGGAACUUCCAACACACGGCUGAUCGGUGCGGUGAAUAAUAUGAAAUUAAACGGUUUAAUAAGUUAAGAGAGCCUGUGGAAUGAUUGCUUUCAAAUCAUAAUAAAUUCAUCCUGAAUCCGCAAAAAAAA